CUAGUUUCCGUGGGAGUGAGGUCUGCGCUAGCACAAUGCUGUCACGGGGCACCCACCCAUUAGGAGGCACAACCCAUUAGGAGGCUCAACCCGACGAAGAUUGAAGAGCGGCUGGGAAAGGGGCUGUGAUUUAAUUGUGAUGAACUAUUUGCCUCGGGCCAUCAUUGCAAAACGGUUGUUUAUGAUCAAGACUAUCGAGGUAGAUGAAGUGGUGGGAGUCGACCUCGAAAAUGGUGAAGAGGGGGGAUUCCUCUAGAUCUCCUUGAAUCCUGUCACGG
rnacentral:lncRNA from 1 species